rnacentral:lncRNA from 7 species
AUCGUCAUGGAAGAAGCAGCAUUUUGUGGAAUCACAGCUUGUGCAUUUUUGUCCUUAUACAACUCUGUGAAAUGUGACAGUGCCAAGAAGUUGCAUCUGGUUUAUACCAAGGAAGCUAAAGAGGUGACUUGAUCACCGCCUUCAAGUACAAGCUUUGUCUGCAGGGGGGCUGUCUGUUUCUAAUACUUGGUGCUGCAGAUUGGCAGAUCUACUGCAAAUGGAACCAUUUGGAAUGCAGCCUAAAUCCCACUGGAGCAAUUGGGAUGCAGAUGGCAAGGAAAGCUGAAGGGCAUUUGGAUACAUGCUGUCCCAUGGAUGUCUAAAUGGGAGAGAAGGUCUUCUAGAAGCACAUGAAGGACCCUAGAGGAGACAAGCGUUGGGAAAAAAAAUGUGUCAGAACAUCUGAAAUGCCUCCUUCAUUGUCCCAGCUUUGGGAGCACUUACUUAACCUAUAUCAGCAUGACUCAAAACAACAUCAAUGUUUGUCUCUGGAGUGAAAAGAAAUAAUGUGCUUUGUUCAGCUGCUUCCUAUUCAAAGAGAAAUCACACUGGGAAGCAGAAGUUGCUGUAAAGGGGAGAGGUUCUGCAACCGACUCACUGGAAAAGGGGGAGAACAGUGCACAAAAGAACCUGCGGAUAUCCUGGUGGAUUUCAGGAUCAGGAUGGGGACAGGAAAUGCUCAGUACUUUGCAGGAGCUGACCCCUGGUGAAAGGGCACAACGCACAGGUUAUGAAAGAGCCAGGGACUGGAGACAGGAAGGCAAACUGACUGAUAUUUAACAUUCCUGCUCUGUGGCCCUUUGGAAAACAUCAGUGAAGAUCUCUUGCGUCCUCCAAGAGCAGGAAGUCGUUUUACAGUCAGGGAAACAGAGGCAGGGAGAUAGCAGUUCAUUUUUCAAACAGGACUCAGUUCUGGAUGUCUCUGUUUCUUCCUAAAACAUGCUCCGGGUUUGUCUGACUGAAAUCCUGGAUGUUGUCAGAAGAAAGCCAGGAAGAGAACUCAGGAGAGCAGGCUGCCUGACCUGGGAGUCCAGGGUCAGAUCCCAAAGCAGCUGGAGGUAUAAUCCCUACAUCAAAGGCAGGAAGGGAUGUGCAGCUGGGGUACAGGCAGAAAUAGUUAAUGGAAGAAAAUAUUCCCCCAACCUUUAAUUAUUUAGAGGCGGAAUUAAUUUUGCAGUUCCUCUGGCAGGUUUCUCUGGUCAUUAGGGCAUUGGCAAUGAGUCCUCCCCAGCAACCCGGCUAUCGAUCAGUCUCUCUGAGGGCUGAAGUGUCACUGGGAGGUUGGACAUAUCUGUGUCUCAGGGCAGAAGCUGAGCAAGGCAGAGUUUGUCUGUGCUCUUAAACUAUGUUUUCCUAUCUUUUCUCACCCUCCUUUCAGAGAGAUGAUAAAAAUAAAGACAUAUAA